ensembl:lncRNA
GGACAGCUCAGGCUCAAGUCCUGGAAGAUGAGGCUGUCUUCCCCAAGCAAAGUUCUUGGCAGCCAGGGCCUGGACAGACAAGGAGAUUCAGGGCCCCAGGACAAGUAGGGCCUGUCCUCACCUGUCUUCGAAUCCGUUCUGUCCUCCUUGGUACAGGGGACAGCACAGGGGUCGUCUGGGAUGCCUCACAGCCUCUCCCUAACAACCAUCGACUCUUCAUGGCACUUGUGUCCCUGGGCAGGCAUCAGCAGACUGGUUUACACACAAGGCUGACCAUGUCUCUGAGCUUCUGUCACCGCAGGUCCUAAAAUCACAUUGGAACUGUCAGUCGAGGAUGGAGCUUUAAAUAACUGAAGGACACCAAACAUGUCUGCUCACGUUUCUUUUAAUAAACCCAAGUUCCUCCCUCUCUACUGAAUAUAAUGUGGAGAGCAUCUCGCUCCUGUUCAUGUUGGGUGGUUGGCUGGGGGUGACACAAAACCAACAACCUGG